ensembl:lncRNA
GGCGGGCGGAGGGUCCCGGAUGUGCCGCCCUUCGCUCGCUCUUUUUUUUUAUUUUCCCAUUUUUUUCUCUCUUUUCUGAGGCGCUGGCGGUGUUCCUAGUUGCGUUGCCUGUUGGCUUAUCGUAUGCCUGGGCGCUGCAGGGCUCCGGGGCUCGCGCUGGACUGGAGGGUCCGAGCCGCCUUCGGCCGCCAGGUUGCCGCGCUCCGAGCCGCUCUCGCCUCCUGAUGCCGCGAGCCGAGGAGCGCGGGUGGCGGGGCGUGAGCCGCUGUCUCCGCCGCCAUCUUAGAGCCGGCGCGCCCGGGCCGCUGGGCGCUGGGCCCCGCGCCGGCAUUCCGCCGGCCCGGCGUGCGGAGGGCCUGGUCGGAGCUUGUCCAGCCUUCGCUCCUGAGCGGAGAGGCGCGGUCAGCGCUCCCUACCACAGGGCUGGGAGUGCGUGCUAAUAAGGAGCAGGAAGCCACCCUCGCCGGAGAAUGAGAACACGCAUGGCGGUCCCCUCUGCGAAUGGCAUUAGGGUCAGGGUAACUUACACCUGCCGGAGGUGGCACCCCGUUCGUUUCUAGUUCCCCGUUAUCCUCAGCCCUUAGCUUUCUUUUCAUAUUUUGAAGUAACUUUUUUCCAGAUCCCCAACAUUUUCAGAGGAGCUUCAGAAACAUAAAAGCCAGUAAGUUCAUCAGCUUCUAAGGAAUCAGCUACAGAGAUGGCAGAACUGAAUGAUGCAUAAAUAAGUGGAUCUAAAAUGGAGAUUUAUCUGAGCAGGCAUUCUCACUGCUGAGAGUAAACUAAGGAAGUAUCCAGUGAAGAUUAGCCCUGAGUUAACAUCUGCUGCCAAUCCUCCUCUUUUUGCUGAGGAAGACUGGCCCUGAGCUAACAUCCGUGCCCAUCUUCCUCUACUUUAUAUGUGAGACGCCUGCCACAGCAUGGCUUGCCAAGCGGUAACUUGUCCACACCUGGGAUCCAAACUGGCGAACUCUGGGCUGCUGAAGUGGAACAUGCAAACUUUAACUGCUGCACCACCAGGCUGCCCUUAUAAAUUUUGAAAUUUGGUGGUAUUAACUCCAUUUCUGUUCUUCUUCUUCAAAGUUGUUUUGUAUAUUCUAGGUCAUCUGCAUUUCCGUAUGAAUUUUAGAAUCAAGUUCUACAGAAAGACUUCUUGGGAUUUGGAUUGGUAUUAUAUUCAGUCUGUAGAUUAAUCUCGUGAGAACUGAUGUCUUAAUAGUAUAGAGUCUUCUGACCCAAUGAAAAAGAUAUAUCUCUCCUUUUAUUUAGGUCUUCUUUAAUUUCUCUAAGUAAUGACUUUUAGUUUUUGGUAUGUAGGUCUUUCACAUCUUUUGUCAGAUUUACCCCUAAGUAUACUGUAAUUCUGAUGAUAUUGUAAAUAAUAUUGUUUUUAAAUUCCUUUUGUUCAUUGCUAGUGCACAGAAAAGUAAUUGAUUUUUUAUGUCGAUCUUGUAUCCUGAUACCUUGUUGAAGCCACUUAUUAGUUCUAGUAGCUUCUUGGUCAAUUCUAGAUUUUCUCUGUAGAUGAUCAUGCCUACUGUGAAUAAAGACAGUUUUACUUCCACCUGUUCAAAAAGCAAAAGGCUUCCUCUCCUAACAUCACCCCACCCCACUCAGGUUUCAGAGAUAAGUCCUGUUUACAAUGCUUAGUUUUAGUUCCUCUGUCAAUCACAGUAUUUAUAUGGAUCUGUAGCCCAAAUUUAAAUGGUGUCUAUUGACGCUCUACAAUAAAAGAUGAAAAAAUUAUACUAUUUUCCCUUCUUUCAUCCUGUUUUUCUCUCUCUGACUCCCAUUUUUCAGAUUACAUUAUAGUUUUACACUUUCUAGAUUUAUAACAAUUAUUUCCAUUUCUGAUCAUGUGGUGAGUUAGGUAAGCUGAAUAAACCUCCUCAGCAAACACCUAAACAUUCUGGAUAAGGCAUUUUAAAGCAGCUUAUUAAAUGCAUUCCCAAGCUGGCAAGAAAGUAAAGGAAAUUCCCAAAGACCUUGAGAGGAACAAAAGCCCAAAUCAAAAAAAGUAAACCAGUGC